rnacentral:rRNA from 1 species
AUUGAACGCUGGCGUCCGGCCUAACACAUGCAAGUCGAACGAGUGGCGGACGGGUGGGUAAUGUCUGGGAAACUGCCCGAUGGAGGGGGAUAACUACUGGAAACGGUAGCUAAUACCGCAUACCAUCGGAUCUGCCCAGAUGGGAUUAGCUAGUAGGGGGGGUAACGGCUCACCUAGGCGACGAUCCCUCGCUGGUCUUAGAGGAUGACCAGCCACACGGGAACUGAGACACGGGCCAGACUCCUACGGGAGGCAGCAGGGGGGAAUAUUGCACAAUGGGCGCAAGCCUGAGGCAGCCAUGCCGCGUGUAUGAAGAAGGCCUUCGGGUUGUAAAGUACUUUCAGCGGGGAGGCGUUACCCGAAGAAGAAGCACCGGCUAACUCCGUGCCAGCAGCCGCGGUAAUAC